AUUUUAUUCGGCUUACCAAAUGGUUUCCUAUAGCUUACAGGAUACUAAUGCUUUCAAAAUCCAGAUUAGAUCGUAAUUAUUCUAAAUUAUUGUACAGAUUUGAGUGGUAUUGCUAAAAAUUAAACUACCAUGAGGAGCUUCUUUUAUCUACUCAUUUAGCCUCAUAUGAUUUCUACAAUAUAGAAAUAUGAGAUGGCAGUGUGGAUCGACAUGGCAGCUUAAUGCCAAUAAAUUUAGAGUUGAGGGCACUUUAGACUUUGAGCAAUAUUUAAGCAACGUGUCUUUUAAGAACUACCACGCAUCAGCACCACCUGUCGUUUAUACUCUCACUUAUGCAUAGUUUGACAUAUUGGACGUAUGCAACUAGAUGAUAUUAAUCUCCUUGGAGACGAGACAACGGAGAAGAAGGCAGCGGAAGCAAUGGAGGCUGGUAAGGUAUCUACUAAGAAGAAAGAGAGUGAGCUUUGAUAUUUCCUUCUCAGUUGAUUUUGUGUUCAAUUCACAAUUACUGUGGAAAGAAAAUGCAAAACAUCUUCGAACUUGAAUGUGGAAAAUAUGUUCCUUUGCUCAAGUAAAUCAUCAAUAGGCUUCAUCGUGGUGUUGUUACUUUUGUAGGUGAAAAUUCAUCAAUUUCUUUGGACGUUAAGCCUUGGGAUGACUAAAUCAUAUGAAGAAGCAAGAGGAGGUUGUUUGCAAUGUUCAGAUGGGAGGGCUUUUUUGGGGAGCAUGCAUGACUUAUUAUAUCCAUUCAACUCUUUAACCAUGCCCUAACCAUUAUAUAUCUGAGUUUGGUUAUUGACAAGCUGUUUUUGCGUCUCUUUGACAACCAAAUUAGUUCUAAUCGGCAACGGGAUUAAGAAAUUGCAAAUCAUGCUUACCAUCGUGGAUGACCUGAAAUUUGGGCUGUCUAGAGCCCCAUGUUGUUGGUAAGUUUUUGCGCAUUUGUGCUUGAGAUUCUGUGGAUUUCCUUAUGUUUCUUUUGAUAGCAUUUCCUAAUGGGGAAAACUUUGAGGUAGGGAGUCGAAGUUGUUAUUGCUAAAACUUUGAGAAGAUACACCAUAAUAAAGGCAAAAUUUCAAAUUGCGCCUC